GUGUUUGCCUCAGCAGCACAUAUACCAAAAUUGGAAUGAUACUGAGAUUAGCAAUGGCCCCUGAGAAAGGAUGACAUGCAAAUUCAUUAAGUGUUCCAUAUUUUA
rnacentral:snRNA from 1 species